CCCCAAUCAUUAAUUAGUUUCUGCUUUUAAAAUCUUAUAAUUUUAAAUAAUAUAGUUGUGUGUGCGUGUUUGUGUAUCUUUGUUAUGUUAGUUCAGAGAUAGAAGGAAGAAACACACACUGGAGUUUGUUUUUCAUAACCUUAACCCUGAACUGGGAACAAACUCUCCCUUUAGGAUAAUCCAAGGAAGUCUGAGUUAUUUCUAGAAUCAAAGUACUGGCCAGAAAUCAGGUUGGAUGGUUUCUGCUCAUCCCAAAUAAAGCCCUGCUCUCCUUCCGGCAGCUCUGAAAGGCGGAUUGCCUGAAGGCAGGGAAAGUGAGAGAAAAGCUAUAUUUAGAUCCAGGGCAGCUUCUGAUUUUGUUUCUCCUUUUCCAACAAGCAAAGGUGGCAAACACUUGGUGAACUUUGAUGUCUGUGUUUCAGAUGCUGUCUUUGGUUUCCCCACAGCAACUUUUUGUACUCUUUCCAUUCAUUGAUUUCUCUCAUUGGACUGAGGUGAUUAUGCAGUGUAAGUUACACUGAAGUAUUGGGACUUGCUUCUGAGAAAUGUUAUAAAAACAUAGAGGUAGAAAGACCAAAAGUUCAUUCAGUUCAGCCUUUUGCCUGAAGGCAGGAUCUUCCACAAAAAAUCCAUAGAUCAACUUAUGCAAUUCAGACCGUACAUCUGAAACUAAGAGACUCCUUGAUCCAGCUUCAAGAGCAGCCCAGUUUCCUUUGUGAAGGACAUAACCUCAGAACAGAGGCUCCAUCCCAUUGUCAGCCUACUGAGAGGCAGGCUGAAAUCAGAUCAAAAUGAUCCAGCAGGAAAGAGAAUACAAAUCCCAAGAACAGGUUCUAUUGAAACUUGCUUUUCUUCAUAUGGAAAUUCCUCACAAAACUAUGUGAAGGAGGCAGAAUGUUUACUGAAUAAAAACUUCAUCUACAAGUCCUCUUAUAUUUUAGUACAAUACUCUUUCAUUUCCCCUCCUUCCCCAUUUCCAGCUCGUUGUAUAUGAGUGGUACAAGAAUACUCUA